rnacentral:rRNA from 1 species
GGCUUAUUGAAAAUAAUUUUAAGUCUGGCCUGCCCAAUGAAUAAUAUUUUAAUGGCCGCAGUAUUUUGACUGUGCAAAGGUAGCAUAAUCAUUAGUUUUUUAAUUGAAAGCUUGUAUGAAAGGUUUAAUGAAAAAAGUACUGUCUUUAUUUAAAUUUAAUAGAAAUUUAUUUUUAAGUUAAAAAGCUUAAAUAUAUAUAGAAGACAAGAAGACCCUAUAGAGUUUAAUAAAUUUAUUAAUAAAUUAAUAUUAGGAAUUUAAAUUUAAAUUUAAAAAUUUAUUUUAUUGGGGUGAUUGAAAAAUUAAAUAAACUUUUUUUUUAUUUAAUCAUUAAUGUAUGAUAAUUUGAUUCUUUAAUUAAGAUUAAAAGAUAAAAUUACCUUAGGGAUAACAGCGUAAUUUUUUUUAAGAGUUCUAAUCGAAAAAAAAGGUUGCGACCUCGAUGUUGGAUUAAAAAGUAAUAUUGGUGUAGUAGUUGAUAUAGUAGGUCUGUUCGACCUUUAAAAUUUUACAUGAUCUGAGUUUAAACCGGCGUGAG